AGGACCUGGAAUCAUCUGCCCUCGUUCACAGGCAGAAAUUUUGAAAACAAGUUGUUCUCGCCCAUCCUGCCUGGAUCAGAGGAGGAAAACAGAUUCAU
ensembl:miRNA